rnacentral:rRNA from 1 species
UACGGAGGGUGCAAGCGUUAUCCGGAUUCACUGGGUUUAAAGGGUGCGUAGGUGGGUCUGUAAGUCAGUGGUGAAAGCCCCGAGCUCAACUUGGGAACUGCCAUUGAUACUGCUGAUCUUGAGUAUGGUUGAGGUGGGCGGAAUAUGACAUGUAGCGGUGAAAUGCAUAGAUAUGUCAUAGAACACCGAUUGCGAAGGCAGCUGACGAAACUAUUAUUGACGCUGAUGCACGAAAGUGCGGGGAUCAAACAGG